AGCCAGUGCUCUUAACCACUGAGCUAUCUCUCCAGCCCCAGACAUUAUUUUAUUGUAUGGGCCAGGCUGGCUUUGGACAUGGUUCUCUUGUCUUGGCCUGCUGGGUGCUAGGAUGACGGGUGUGCCCCUCCCUGCCACGCCCCCUCUCUUGUUCCCUGUGGGACCGCUGUCCUUGUCUCCGCCUGUGCAUGAACGAGUGUGUGUGUGCACACCAGCACGUACAAUCAAAUAUAUUGUUGUCUAAUAAGCUUACCUGCCUGAGCAAUUAAGAACAAGAACUCUAGGAGCUUUGGUUGGUUUCUAGUUAAGCAUUUCUCAGUGCACCCCCACCCCCUUGUCUGGCUUGUGAGGAGAAGUCAGAGGGAAUUCUUAAUGCUGAGCCCCUAAAAAUUAUUUUCUUCCUUUGUGUUCUUGCAAGGUUUGAAAAGUUGUCCUCAAGUCUGACCAUGCUAUGUCUAGAUGCAGCUUCCAUGCUUUGCAUUUCUCUACUUUUCUGUUACUUUUUGGCUAUGUAGCUUACUGCCCGACAUUAAUUAAAGGAGAUUAAAAUGUCAUUUUGUUUUGUUUUAAAUACUGUGUCUAUUUCCUCCUUCUUCUCAUCCCGCUGUCCGCAUUGUGAGUAGCUGCGCACAGCUGUUCCGCAGUCCUUAGAUACUGGACUUUAAUUUUUCACCCCCCUUCCCUUCUCAGUUUUGGAAGGUUUUUCUGUUCAUAGUCUCAAGUUUAGAGAUGCUUUCCUCAUCAGCCUGCUAACGAGCCCAUCAACGUCAUUCUUUGGUUUGUUCGGCUUUUCACUUAUUGUUAGGGCAGAAUAACUUCCCAGCUGCUUGUGUGCUAGACUGGAAACCCAGUGUCCUUGGAGCAGAGCUGGAGAAUGACCCCCAGAGUCCUUCUACCAGAGGAGGCUUGCUGUCACCACCCAGCAAAUUCUUCCAAGGAGUUAUUGAAAUUCAUGAUGCUACCCUCUUUUCUGUGACAAAGGACAAGUGUUCCCGAUUGCUGACAUUAAUGGAACUUUCCCCCCUCUCCUAAAUGUGGUGGAAAAUGUCACUUUUCAAAGUGGGGAGAGAUAUCAUCAAAUUUAAGUGUUUGAAAUCCCUGUUGAGCCGUCAGCAAGCUCACCGAGGAUGGUCUGAAUUCUCUCCUCCUCAGUUCUGGGAAAAUGAAAAAGCAAAAAAAAAAAAAAAGUUUUAGUGUUGAGGCUUUUAAGACCAUUGGGAUUUUUAAACUUGAACUGAAUGCGUAUUAUGAGACAGCCCUGAGUCUGUGGGGUGAGGACCAGAAUGUUAUGGUUUAGGUGGAGCGUGUCCUCUAUGAGCUUGCCCAUGUGUUUGAACACAUGGUUAUCAGCUGGUGGUGCUGUUCUGGGAGCUUGUGGACCCUUUGGGAGAUAGGGCCUAGCCAGAGGAAGUGCAUCUCUGGGUGGGUUGGCUGGGGGUCCACCCCCACUUCCUGACUCACAUGAGCUCUCUGGGUCUCUGAGAUGUGAGUAAGCAGCUUCGUGUUCCCAUUGUCAUGGAGCUAGCUUGCUGCCAUGAUGGUUGUGUCCCCUCAAACUGUGAGCCCCAACAGGCUUCUCAUCCCUCUAAAGGAAUGGGUUUACUCCGAUGCCUGGGUUAGGCGAAUUGGAAGAUAGUUCUGUGUAUGCGUGUAUGUUUGUGUUCUGGGGAUUAAACCCAGGGCUUUGCACAUGCAAAUCAAACACCUUAAUAUUAAUGUACACAUCCAGCCCAGAAAAGGAGAGAAUUCAUUCUGCAGAGUACUCUAGCUCUGAAUGGGAGGAGAUAGACUAUAUGGAAGCUGGGAGGCAUACUCAGAGAGGUCCCAGGUAUCUUUUGAAAAGAAAAGUUAGAUGUUCAAAUGGAGGAAAUUAAAGAGAGACACGAGAAGGUGUCUAUGGCAGAAUAUGCCACUCAAAACAUAUCUGCAUGAGACCAGACUGUUAUCCCUCAGAAUGGGCCUGGAAGAGACACAGUAAGGCACUCAAAACAUGUCGCUUCAGCUGGAGGACUAUCUUGAGCACUAGCAGACAUAGAAAGAAUAUGUCUUCUGGUGUUCAUGGACAAGAGUACUCUCGGGUAUGGUCCAGAAGUAUAGAUCCCAGGCCAAAAGAAAUGUACAUGUUCUAUUCUGUUGGUAAAUGUCCAAUGACCUCUAAAGGAGGCAUGUCAUAUCCAUUCCUGUUGGUUGUGUGUUUGUGGAGGUUGCAUUGUGCUGCUCUGUGGUAAGAAGCAUAUUGCCACCGAGUUGAUUGCCCUCAGCCAUGACUCUGAAUCUGCUCCCCAACCCUGCCCUGACCCCCAUUGCUUCUAACUUGAAAAGAGCAAAUGUCUAUUUCGGCUCAUGGUUCCAGAGCUUGACAUUAUUGUCUAUUUUUCUGUUUCCUGGCCUCUGACUCACAAGAAAAACAACUUAGAAGUGACCAUUCUCUUUCCGCACCUUUCUGUAGGUAAGGCAUAGUCCUUCCGCACAGCCUGCCUGAACAUUGGUUCAGAUUUAUGGAAUGAGUGUCAUGAAUAAAAGUGGUCAAGAACUGUCAACUAACUCUGUUGCCCCUUUGUCCUCUGGCAGCAGUGUCAUACCUGAACGGAUCAGAAGGGAGCUUUGGCCUGAUUCCCCGGAGUUGUUAUGCUAUCAGCCUGCCUUCUGCAUGGAAGGAGCCGGGUCCUGGUCACAGGCAUAGAAUGACACCUGGAUACACAGCACAAGUCUGGGCACUGAAAGUCUCAUGUAGUCAGGAUGAAGAUGACUUUUAACUUCUGACGUUCCUUGAUUUCAGCUUCCAAGGGUAAGAUUACAGGACAUCACGUAAGAAGAGUCUUUUGUGUACUGCAGCCAAGAAACAGUCAAGUCGUAUUCAAUACUAGCUGUUCUCUUUACUGUGGAGAAGUAUUCUAUUGUUGAGGAUCAGGAAUUUAUGUGGAAGAGGAGGCAGAAAGAUUGUAAGAGCAGGAAGGUGGACUCCAAGGAAAGCAGGAAGUGGUGGACUCCAAGGAAACAGCCUUCCAGGAACAACAAGAUGGAGGCAAAUACGAACUCACAGACUGCAAUAGUAGGUGCAAGCCCAGCACUGAAAAGGGGAAGUGAAUGCAGAGCUCCAUCCCUAACCAAGGUACCUAUUUUCAACUGGUACCUGCUAGGAACAGGAAACUCAGUUUUCUCCAAUGGAAUGUCAUAUCACCCACACCCCAUGCCCAGGAGUACUUGGCCAACACAAAAUGGAUCCCAUUUUUUUUUUCGUGUGUGUGUGUGUGUGUG